rnacentral:rRNA from 1 species
GACGAACGCUGGCGGCGUGCCUAAUACAUGCAAGUCGAACGCAGUGGGGACGGGGGAGUAACACGUGGGUAACCUCCCAUCAGAGGGGAUAACACUUGGAAACAGGUGCUAAACCGAUACUGAUGGAUGAACCCGCGGUGCAUUAGAUAGUUGGUGAGGUAACGGCUCACCAAGGCCACGAUGCAUAGCCGGCCUGAGAGGGUGCUCGGACACACUGGGACUGAGACACGGCCCAGACUCCUACGGGAGGCAGCAGUAGGAAAUCUUCGGCAGUGGACGAGAGGCUGAGCGUGCAACGCCGCGUGAGUGAAGAAGGUUUUCGGAUCGUAAAACUCUGUUGUUAGAGAAGCGGUAUCUACCCAGAAAGCCACGGCUAACUUCGUGCCAGCAGCCGCGGUAAUUC